UACGGAAGGCAGCAGUGGGGAAUAUUGCACAAUGGGCGCAAGCCUGAUGCAGCCAUGCCGCGUGUAUGAAGAAGGCCUUCGGGUUGUAAAGUACUUUCAGUCGUGAGGAAGGUGUUAAGGUUAAUAACCUUAGCAAUUGACGUUAGCGACAGAAGAAGCACCGGCUAACUCCGUGCCAGCAGCCGCGGUAAUACGGAGGGUGCGAGCGUUAAUCGGAAUUACUGGGCGUAAAGGGCACGCAGGCGGUUAAUUAAGUUGGAUGUGAAAUCCCCGGGCUUAACCUGGGAAUGGCAUUCAAGACUGGUUAGCUAGAGUCUUGUAGAGGGGGUAGAAUUCCAUGUGUAGCGGUGAAAUGCGUAGAGAUGUGGAGGAAUACCGGUGGCGAAAGGCGGCCCCCUGGGACAAAGGACUGGACGCUCAUGUGCGAAAGCGUGGGGAGCAAACAGGGAUUAGAUACC
rnacentral:rRNA from 1 species